UACGUAGGGUGCGAGCGUUGUCCGGAAUUAUUGGGCGUAAAGAGCUCGUAGGCGGUGUGUCACGUCGAUCGUGAAAACUUACAGCUUAACUGUGGGCGUGCGGGCGAUACGGGCAGACUGGAGUACUGCAGGGGAGACUGGAAUUCCUGGUGUAGCGGUGGAAUGCGCAGAUAUCAGGAGGAACACCGGUGGCGAAGGCGGGUCUCUGGGCAGUAACUGACGCUGAGGAGCGAAAGCGUGGGGAGCGAACAGG
rnacentral:rRNA from 1 species